AUGCACUACAGCAGCGACCUGCAGCCGGCAGCGAAAAACCUCCGAAAGAGUGCCAUAGGCGUGCUGGAGGUGGGCAUCCUCAGCGCGCGCGGCAUGGUCGGCAGCAAGAACCCCUACUGCGUUGCCAAGUGGGUGCGCACGCGCACGCUGCUGGGCACCGCUGCACCACAGUGGAACGAGCCGUACACCUGUGAUGUAUUCGACCUCAGCACCGUCAUCACCGUCGCCGUCUUGGACAGCAACCACAUCCACCGCGGUCAUGCAGUCAGACCAGCCGAGGACCAGAGGAUCGGCAAGGUGCGCGUCCGGCUCGCGACAUUAGAGAGAGACCGCGUGUACACGCUCAAACCGUCGGGGCUGAAAAAGAUGGGGGAGCUCCACCUUGCCGUCCGGUUCACCUGCAAUUUCGUGGGCCAAAAUGCUAGGCAUGACGAUUCCCACAUGUUUAGCCUUCGUGGAAGCAAGGCAUACAUCUGCCGGAUCACCGCGCUCUUCUCGAGUGUUGUCACCGUGGCCAAAUGGUUCGACGGUAUCUGCAAGUGGAAGAACCCACUGACGACGAUUUUGGGGCACGCGGUGUUUCUGAAGCUGGUGCGCAACCCGGAGUUGAUCCUGCCCAUCGUGUUCCUAUGA
rnacentral:rRNA from 1 species